GAUGAACGCUAGCGGCAGGCUUAAUACAUGCAAGUCGAGGGACAGCACAGGUAGCAAUACUGGGUGGUAACCGGCAAACGGGUGCGGAACACGUACACAACCUUCCUUUAAGUGGGGGAUAGCCCAGAGAAAUUUGGAUUAAUACCCCGUAAUAUAGUUGAAUGGCAUCAUUUGAUUAUUAUAGCUACGGCGCUUAAUGAUGGGUGUGCGGCUGAUUAAAUAGUUGGCGGGGUAACGGCCAACCAAGUCUACGAUCAGUAGCUGAUGUGAGAGCAUGAUCAGCCACACGGGCACUGAGACACGGGCCCGACUCCUACGGGAGGCAGCAGUAAGGAAUAUUGGUCAAUGGACGCAAGUCUGAACCAGCCAUGCCGCGUGAAGGAUUAAGGUCCUCUGGAUUGUAAACUUCUUUUAUUUGGGACGAAAAAGGGCCUUUCUAGGUCAACUGACGGUACCAGAUGAAUAAGCACCGGCUAACUCCGUGCCAGCAGCCGCCGUAAAAC
rnacentral:rRNA from 1 species